AGCCAUCCCUCCCUCGGGCCGGCCAUGAGGAAUUGAAGCGGCUUGAGCAGAACUAGCGCAUGGACCAUGCGUGCCUCCCGCGCUAGGAGCCACCGGUCCUCGUCAUCUGCUAGCAUCCACGAGGAAUCGAUCCAUAUAAUGUUUGAGGGGAGCUCGGUUAGUGUCAACACCUCAUGGAUUUAUGCAUAUCAGUUCAUUUUGCUUAAAGCCACUGUAAUGAUGCCUACCGGUUCCAGGGCCGUUGACGAGGACGUGCGAGGUGGGCGACCGCACAGGGCCCCCAAAAAUUAGGGGGCUUCGAAUCCUGUAUAUGUGUUCUUCGUCACCAUGGAUCUGAGAGUGCCUGAACUGCUCGUUUCGUACAUGGUCACGGCUGACGGCCGCACCGAUACGAGCGGCAUCCUUGGUUCCUUUGUGUGUCCUAGGGCGGCGAGGCCCAUGAUCUUGUACAUGGAGCAGUGCAGCAUCGUUGUUGUGCCUCUGCUGUCAUCCGUCACCAGAACAAGCAGGCAUGCACGUUUCCCUUGCCUGACGCAUUCCCAUAGUCCAUGUUUUGGAUCCAGAUUGAAGAGCAAGCUCGUGCUACAGCAGCAACCUAGUAGCAAAACUCUGAGCUUAGCCAGCAGGUCAACGAAUUACAAGAUCAACUACAAGCUGAACGUGCAAACACACAAGAGAGGAUUAACUUGGAGCGUGCUGAGAAAGAACAAUUUGGGGAGAGGUUAAAAGAAGAGCGUGCUGAAAGGGAAAUAUUGUUGGAAGAAGAGCGAACAUCAAGACUGUAAUUUGAAAAAAAACAUGAUGGCAAAUUUUGCAAAAUUGAGCCAACAGAUGGGAACCAGUAGGUGCCAACGAAGAGGAUUGACAAAGAAAAUAGUAGUCUUAACUUGUAAAAUACUCUUUUUUAGAGAUCUAGUCCUAAUAAGACUCUAGGUGCAAGGCUAACUGUUAUUUCUUCAAAUGUGCUCAUACAAGUUGAACAAGGAAUUCUCA